GCUGGGUGUGGUGAUGCACACCUGUAGUCUCAGCUACUUGGGAGGCUGAAGUAGGAGGAUCACUUGAGCCCAGGAGGUGGAGGUUGCAGUGAGCCAAGAUCAGGCCACUGCACUCCAGCCUGGGCAACAGAGUGAGACUCCGUCUCAA
rnacentral:SRP_RNA from 1 species